rnacentral:sRNA from 1 species
AAAUCGUGUGGGUGAGCCCCUGCGUUCAGGUUCGAGCCGAGCGAAGCGAGACAGCAACGCGCUAGCGUUGACCCGAAGGGUGAGUCCACAGGACGAAUCAUCCCGCACGACCCACCA